AAUGGACAAAACUGAAAAUGAAAUUAAUAAAAAGAAAAUUUGACUCAAAACACACACAAGGUGUGUGUUCUGGUCGAUGUUUACACAUAGCAAGAAAGGGGUUCCUUCUUUUGAACCCUAAACUCACUAUUUGAUCAAAAUCAGAGGGAAAACAAGCUAGGAAUUUGGGGCUUUUACUAAAUUCGCGAUCACCAAGACAAGGGGGUUGUAAGUGUCCGAAGUCGGCUGAACUGUUUUGACAGCAAGCUGAUUGGAAGCAUUUUGACUUCUGAGCUGAUUUUGCGAAAAUCAUAAUAAAUUCUAGGAAGCUCGGAUUGAGCUGAUUCUUUUUGCGCUGGAAAGAUAUUUUAGUAUUCUACAUUUCAUCUUUGAUCACGAAAGGCUAAAUAAAACCGUAAAGUGGUCAAAAGAGUCGAUUCAGUAGCUAUAUUGUAAAGUUGCUGCACAUUGUAUUGAUAAACUUAAUCUAAGAAAAAUUGUAUGCAAGAAAAGGAUAAAUUGUGAGAAAUGUGAUAAUGAUGGCAUUCUAAUAAAUUAGCUUGAGGCAAUGUGUCUA